AUGAGAAAAUCAUAUGAGAAUUCUAAGAGGGGGUCUUCCAAGGAAGUCACCAAAGCCAUUGGGAGGCACAAAGAUGAUAAGAUCAAUUCCUCUGAAGGUGCAAGAACACAAGUUGACAUGAUUGUCAAAGCAUCUAUGGUAGGGAAAACUUCAGUUUCAAGGGAGAAAAAGCUCAAGAAAAAGAAGCAUUCAACUAAUGAAAGCGGAUCACACAUUGAUGAGGACUAG